UUCGGAUCGCAGGCUGCAACCCGCCUGCGUGAAGUCGGAAUCGCUAGUAAUCGCGGAUCAGCAUGCCGCGGUGAAUACGUUCCCGGGCCUUGUACACACCGCCCGUCACACCAUGAGAGUCGGGAACACCCGAAGUCCGUAGCCUAACCGCAAGGAGGGCGCGGCCGAAGGUGGGUUCGAUAAUUGGGGUGAAGUCGUAACAAGGUAGC
rnacentral:rRNA from 1 species